AAAAGAUGUCUUUGUCGAGUUCAUUGUAAAACUUUCGUGUCGCGAUACCAGCAGGUUUUAGAAGAAAUACAAAGUCUUUGAACAACUGCUGUUCGCAAUGAAUUAGAGAUAAGUCUUGGCAGCUUUAAACUUUUAUGCCAAUGGAUCAUACAAAUGGCUUUGUGAUGGCUAAGGCAUCUUUUAGCAAAUGCCUACAUGAAGUCGCUGACGCUCCUGAAUACCCCAGCUGUUUAAAAAAAAUGUGUUAAGUUCCCUUUGCAUUAAACACAAAAUCAUUAUAAAUAAAUAUGUGAUACCAAUCUAAUAAUAACAUAGUGGAUGCUCAAUUUGGUGGUGCAUCUUAUGACUUGUACAUAUGGAACCAGUGCAAUAAGACCACUUGAGGAAAACCUGCCCAAUAGGGACCGCUGUUGGUUGUUAGGUGACCAAUGUUUGCAUGAUGACCCCCAUCUUGGGAGCUGCUCCUAGAUCCCAUGAAGAUAUGGAGACAACAUUGCUGUGUCA
rnacentral:lncRNA from 1 species